CAGCCGCCACGGUAAUACGGAGGGUGCAAGCGUUAUCCGGAUUUAUUGGGUUUAAAGGGUCCGUAGGCGGACUUAUAAGUCAGUGGUGAAAGCCUGUCGCUUAACGAUAGAACUGCCAUUGAUACUGUAAGUCUUGAGUAUAUUUGAGGUAGCUGGAAUAAGUAGUGUAGCGGUGAAAUGCAUAGAUAUUACUUAGAACACCAAUUGCGAAGGCAGGUUACCAAGAUAUAACUGACGCUGAGGGACGAAAGCGUGGGUAGCGAACAGGAUUAGAUACCCCAGUAGUCCCUGUCUCUUAUAC
rnacentral:rRNA from 1 species